rnacentral:rRNA from 2 species
AGACUCCUACGGGAGGCAGCAGUAGGGAAUCUUCCGCAAUGGACGAAAGUCUGACGGAGCAACGCCGCGUGAGUGAUGAAGGUUUUCGGAUCGUAAAGCUCUGUUGUUAGGGAAGAACAAGUACCGUUCGAAUAGGGCGGUACCUUGACGGUACCUAACCAGAAAGCCACGGCUAACUACGUGCCAGCAGCCGCGGUAAUACGUAGGUGGCAAGCGUUGUCCGGAAUUAUUGGGCGUAAAGGGCUCGCAGGCGGUUUCUUAAGUCUGAUGUGAAAGCCCCCGGCUCAACCGGGGAGGGUCAUUGGAAACUGGGGAACUUGAGUGCAGAAGAGGAGAGUGGAAUUCCACGUGUAGCGGUGAAAUGCGUAGAGAUGUGGAGGAACACCAGUGGCGAAGGCGACUCUCUGGUCUGUAACUGACGCUGAGGAGCGAAAGCGUGGGGAGCGAACAGGAUUAGAUACCCUGGUAGUCCACGCCGUAAACGAUGAGUGCUAAGUGUUAGGGGGUUUCCGCCCCUUAGUGCUGCAGCUAACGCAUUAAGCACUCCGCCUGGGGAGUACGGUCGCAAGACUGAAACUCAAAGGAAUUGACGGGGGCCCGCACAAGCGGUGGAGCAUGUGGUUUAAUUCGAAGCAACGCGAAGAACCUUACCAGGUCUUGACAUCCUCUGACAAUCCUAGAGAUAGGACGUCCCCUUCGGGGGCAGAUUGACAAGUGGUGCAUGGUUGUCCUCAGCUCCUGUCCUGGAAAUGUUGGGUUAAGUCCCCC